rnacentral:rRNA from 1 species
UUAAGCUAAUAAGAGCGCAGGGUGGAUGCCUUGGCACUAAGAGCCGAAGAAAGACGUGAUAAGCUGCGAAAAGCUGCGGGGAGGAGCAAAUGUCCAUUGAUCCGCAGAUGUCUGAAUGGGGAAACCCGUCUGGAAGAACUCCAGUCACUGCAUGGUGAAUACAUAGGCAUGCAGGGGGAACCCGGUGAACUGAAACAUCUAAGUAGCCGGAGGAAAAGAAAGAAAAAUCGAUUUCCAAAGUAGCGGCGAGCGAAAUGGAAGGAGCCCAAACCGGGAUGCGUGCAUUCCGGGGUUAUGGACCGCAACAAGUGACCCGUAAGAUAGAAGAAUGGCAUUGGGAAAGCCAGCCACAGAGGGUGAAAGCCCCGUAUUCGAAAUCAGAAGGGAGCGAGCGGAAUCCGAAGUACUACGAGACACGUGGAACCUUGUAGGAAAUCGGGGGGACCACCCCCCAAGGCUAAAUACUCCUUAGUGACCGAUAGCGCAUAGUACUGUGAAGGAACGGUGAAAAGAACCCCGGGAGGGGAGUGAAAGAGAACCUGAAACCCUGUGUUUACAAGCUGUGGAAGAGCUUUACAUGCUCAACCGCGUACUUUUUGUAGAACGGUCCGGCGAGUUACUCUUACUGGCAAGGUUAAGCACCAAAGGUGUGGAGCCGAAGGGAAACCAAGUCUUAACAGGGCGAGUUAGUCAGUGUGAGUAGACCCGAAACCGGGUGACCUACCCAUGUCCAGGAUGAAGUUGCCGUAAAAGGCAAUGGAGGUCCGAACACACAUCCGUUGAAAAGGGUGGUGAUGAGGUGUGGGUAGCGGAGAAAUUCCAAUCGAACCCGGAGAUAGCUGGUUCUCCUCGAAAUAGCUUUAGGGCUAGCCUCAAUUUAGUCUUGCGGAGGUAGAGCACUGAAUAUCCUAGGGGGCGUCAAAGCUUACCGAAGAUUAUCAAACUCCGAAUGCCGUAAAGAUGAUGAUUGGGAGUCAGACUGCACGAGAUAAGUUGGGUAGUCAAAAGGGAAACAGCCCAGACCUCCAGCUAAGGUCCCAAAGUGAGUGUUAAGUGGAAAAGGAUGUGGGAUUUCGAAGACAACUAGGAUGUUGGCUCAGAAGCAGCCAUUCAUUCAAAGAGUGCGUAAUAGCUCACUAGUCGAGAGGUCCUGCGCCGAAAAUGUCCGGGGCUAAACACUACACCGAAGCUGAGGAAUGACAAUGUCAUUGGUAGAGGAGCAUUCUUAACUGCGACGAAGCUGUACCGAAAGGAGCAGUGGAGUGUUAAGAAGAGAGAAUGCCGGAAUGAGUAGCGAGAGUGAGGUGAGAAUCCUCACGGCCGAAUAUCUAAGGUUUCCAGGGUAAAGCUGAUCUGCCCUGGGUAAGUCGGGACCUAAGGCGAGGUCGAAAGACGUAGUCGAUGGACAACAGGUUGAAAUUCCUGUACUGCAAUGUAUCAGAAAUGUGGGGACACAGACAGAGAGCCGGAGCCGGGAAUGGAGAAACCGGUGCAAGCGAGGUAGGAGAACAGCAGGCAAAUCCGCUGUUCAAUCUGAAGACGUGACGCGGAGCGAAAUUAAAGUAGCGAAGCCGGUGAGCUGGCUGUCAGGAAAAGCCGCUAUUGUGUACAUUGUACCCGUACCGUAAACCGACACAGGUGGAUGAGGAGAGAAUCCUAAGGCCGACGGAAGAAGCAUUGUUAAGGAACUCGGCAAAAUGACCCCGUAACUUCGGGAGAAGGGGUGCCCUGUGAAAGCAGGGCCGCAGAGAAUAGGCUCAAGCAACUGUUUAGCAAAAACACAGGUCUAUGCGAAACCGAAAGGUGAGGUAUAUGGGCUGACGCCUGCCCGGUGCUGGAAGGUUAAGAGGAGAGGUUAGCGCAAGCGAAGCUUUGAAUUUAAGCCCCAGUAAACGGCGGCCGUAACUAUAACGGUCCUAAGGUAGCGAAAUUCCUUGUCGGGUAAGUUCCGACCC